ensembl:lncRNA
UGAUCUCAACAUUUAUUUGUAUUUUCCCACUAAUAAUUUUAGUUUGCUGUAAAAAUGACCAAUAGCAACCAGGUAUACUUUACUUUCAUCAUUUAUUUUACCUGCUAGGUGGAAAUACAGAAGGAAAGGAGGAAGGAAGGAAGGAAGGAAGGAAGGAAGGAAGGAAGGAAGGAAGGAAGGAAGGGAGGGAGGGAGGGAGGGAGGGAGGGAGGGAGGGAGGGAGGGAGGGAGGGAGGGAGGGAGGGGAGGGGAAGGGAGAGGAGGGGAGGAGGGAGGGAAUUUAUGAAUUCUGCAGGAACAGAGUCAGAUGAAAGAGAAGAAUGAUGGAAGCAGGAGAGAAACAGAGCCUACAAGCAAUGUUCAGAGAAAAGCAUUUGUCAUAGAUCUGACACAUGCAUGCAGGUUGGUGGACAUCCCAAGAUGUUCCUGUCUUCAGAGAAUUUCCCUUGGCCAAAUGGAAGCAGCCUGAGCCAAUCAUUUACAUGCUCCCAACUGCGGACGGCUCACAACCCAUAAAUGAUUGGCAUAAGAGUGCCGAGGUCCAGCCCUUUGCUUCAAGGUAGGAACAACUUCAUGGUAUAAUUCAAACUCCUGUAUGAUCAAGCUAAGGCAGACUCCAGCUGAGAACACAUCCCUGAUUAGCAACAUCCCCUCCCCUCUCCUGCUUCCUCUACUCCUUCAUCCCAAGGCAUCCUCUAUAAAUCGCAUUCACUCAAAUCUCUAUCUCAGGCUGUGAUUUUGAGAAAUUCUACCUAACAUUCCUUCUAACUACUACACUAUUUCUCUGCUGCAGCAAAACUCAAAAUAGUCCUCUAAACUUGCUGUCUCAGAUUCCUCUACUUUUGUUCUCUCUUGAACCUUCUCCAAUAAAAUGUUCAUGCCUACCACGCCACCAAAAUAGCUCUUGGUCACAAAUGACCUCCACAUGCCUAGCCCUAAAAUACUCAUCUUAUUCAAUAUAUUAGCUGGGUUGACAUAAUUGAUUAUUCCCUCCUUAGGAUACUGUCUUCCUUUGCUCCCAGGACACCACACUCUGUUAGUUCUUCCCCACUCCUCCUUUAUCUCUUUCACCACUUCCUCCUCAGCUCUCUGAUCUCUAAAUUUGGGAGUUUCCUCAGGGCUUGAUCCUUGAACUUCUUCUGCUUCUUCAUCUGUACUCACUCCCUGGGUGGUAUCAUCCAGGGCCAUAACUGACACUCCUAGAUUUAUAUCUGCAACCCUGGCUUCUCCCCAAUCCCAGCAUUAUAUAAGCAAUUGCCUAGUCAACAUAUGCAUUUGGACUUUUAUAGACAUCUCAAAUUCAACAAGUCUAGCUGGGCGCAGUGGCUCAUGCCUGUAAUCCCAGCACUUUGGAAGGCCGAGGUGGGAGAAUAAUGAAGUCAGGAGUUCGAGACCAUCCUGGCAAACAUGGUGAAACCCCAUCUCUACUAAAAAUACAAAAAAUUAGCUGGGUGUAGUGGUGGGCACCUGUAAUCCCAGCUACUUGGGAGGCUGAGGCAGGAGAAUCGCUUGAACCCAGGAGGCGGAGGUUGCAGUGAGCUGAGACUGAACCACUGCACUCCAGCCCAGGUGACACAGUGAGACUCUGUCUCAAAAAAAAAAAAAAAAAAAAAAAAAAAGGCUAAAGCCAAAUUUACAAUUCAUAGCCCACACCCUGGCCCAAAUAUGCUUCCCUUCUACAACCCCACUUUCCCAUCUCGAUAAAUGUCAAUUCUACCUUUCCAGUUGCUCAAACCACAAACCUUGGAAUCAUUUUGGAUUUUUCUCUUAUCUCCAAGAAUGGCAGAUUCUAUGUGUAGAGUAUAAGAGAAAGAGAAAAUCAGCUCUAUUUUUCAAAAUAUAUCCCAGAUUAACCUUUCUCCAAUGUCUACUGCUAUCACCCUAGUUCAGGCCACCAUCAUUAUUCAUCUUAAUUAUUGGAAUAGUGUUCUAACUUCCCCCUACCUUUGUGCCUUACAAUCUAUUGUCCACAGAGAAUCCAGAGUGAUCUGUUAAGUUCAAUCACCCUAUUUCUAUGCUUAAUUCCCUGCAAUAGCAUAGUGUAGUUGCUAAGAGCAUAGGCCUGACAGCUUUGGGUCAAAUCCCAGCUCCCUCACUCCUUUACAGAUGCUUCAGUUUUCUCAUCUGUAAAAUGGGGAUAAUAACUAGCUACUUCCUAGGUUUGCUAUAAGGUUUAAAUGAGUUUAUAUAAUACAUAUAGCAGGGUGUGGAAUUACAUGAUUAUUUGAUAAAUGAAAUAGUGUGCUGUCUUGCUUGGAAUAAACAGGUAACCUCUCUCUUCUCUUAUGCCUUCUUUACUUCAUUCUAGCCAUCUUGGCCAGCUUGCUUUGGAAAUUAGAGCUGAAUAAUGAGCAUGCCAAGCCUGCCCCUACCUCUGCUAUUGCCCCAAGUACAUACACAAUUUAAUCUCUCACUUCCUUUCCGGUCUCUCGAUCAAAACCUACCUCAUCAAUAGUUUUCACUGAACAUAAGCAAUACAACAACCUUUGUCCCCAGACACUCCUUCUCCACCUUACCUUGUUUUACUUUCUCCAUAUUGCUCAUCAUUUUCUAACAUAUUAUGAAUUUGCUUGUCUUUUUUGUUGUUUCCCCCAUUCACUACAGCAUAAGCUCUUUUUAAUGAGAGAGAUUUUUUUGUCUGUUCUACUCACAGCAAUAUCUCAAGUGCCUAAAAUAAUACCUGGUACAUAACUGGCAUUCAGUGAAGAUUUACUGAAUUAAUGAAUCAGUGAAUGAACAGAGGGCAGCAAGGAAGUCUUUUAAAUGUUUCACCAGGCUAUGAUGAGAUAUGAAUUAGGAAAGCAGCAGUGGGAAUUAGGUGGAUGAAGUGGCCUAGCCAGACAUGGUAAGUAGGAUCAACUGAAUGGGGUAUGAGAGAGAAGAAAUUUAAGGAAAUUAUUUUGAGAUACUCGUGAAGGUAAAAGCCUUAGGAGAAUGGUAGUGCCCAAAAGCAGAAAAGAAAAUGCAAAAGGAAGAAUCAGCUUGAGGAGGAAUACAACAAACCAAAGUUGUAAGAAGUAGGCAGACAUCUAUGCAGCCUAUCUAGCAGGCAGCUGGAAAUUUGGCUUUAUUAACAAAAGAAAUCAGAACUAUAACUGUGGUUUUAAAAAUCACCAAGAUACACUGUCAUUCAAAGUCAUGGGACUGAAUGAGGCAGCCCAAGGGAAGAGUAUGAUCAAGAAAAAAAAGGAAGAAGACAAAACUUGGGGAGCAUCCACACAUUGUAAGUGUGCAGAUAAAGGAGAAACUAGUGAAAGAGACUGGUAGGAAGGAAAGAAAAUAAGAAUGUCUUUUAGAAGUACAGAAAUGUAUGUCAAGCAACAGUAACUGCUGAAAUGAUAUCAAUUAUAUCAACUGGAAACUUUUUCAAUGUUGUCAAAAAUCACUAAAAUAGAAGUGGGAGAAUAUAGGAAUUUCAUAGCUCCUGAAAAACUGGAGCAAAUGGAGCAUUUGUGCCUGCCAGUGUGGAAAUAGUGAGAUCUUCUGAGCUUUUUCCUUGUCUUCCAGAUGAAUUC